AACGAACGCUGGCGGCAUGCCUAACACAUGCCAGUCGAACGAGACCUUCGGGUCUAGUGGCGCACGGGUGCGUAACGCGUGGGAACCUGCCCUUAGGUUCGGAAUAACUCCCCGAAAGGGGUGCUAAUACCGGAUAAUGUCUUCGGACCAAAGAUUUAUCGCCUUUGGAUGGGCCCGCGUUGGAUUAGCUAGUUGGUAGGGUAAAAGCCUACCAAGGCGACGAUCCAUAGCUGGUCUGAGAGGAUGAUCAGCCACACUGGGACUGAGACACGGCCCAGACUCCUACGGGAGGCAGCAGUGGGGAAUAUUGGACAAUGGGCGAAGGCCUGAUCCAGCAAUGCCGCGUGAGUGAUGAAGGCCUUAGGGUUGUAAAGCUCUUUUACCCGGGAUGAUAAUGACAGUACCGGGAGAAUAAGCUCCGGCUAACUCCGUG
rnacentral:rRNA from 1 species